rnacentral:rRNA from 1 species
AAAGCUCAAAUUUAAAAUCUGGCAGUUUCACUGUCCGAGUUGUAAUUUAGAGAAGUGUUAUCCGUGCUGGACCGUGUACAAGUCUCCUGGAAUGGAGCGUCAUAGAGGGUGAGAAUCCCGUCUUUGACACGGACUACCUGUGCUUUGUGAUGCGCUCUCAAAGAGUCGAGUUGUUUGGGAAUGCAGCUCAAAAUGGGUGGUAAAUUCCAUCUAAAGCUAAAUAUUGGCGAGAGACCGAUAGCGAA